UGAAUUGCAGAACUCCGUGAACCAAUGGCCUCUUGAACGUGCAUUGCGCUCUUGGGAUAUGCCUGAGAGCAUGUCUGCUUCAGUGCUUCUACUUUCAUUUUAUGCUGCUCUUGUUAUCGGGACCACUGUUGCUGCAUGCUUCUGCAAAAGGCACUGGCAUGCUAAGUAUCAAGUUUUGCUUGCUGUUCUGACUGAUCAACAUCUCAUGUCGUUUCAGUUGGCGAAACAAAAGCUGAAGUGUGUUCUUAACACUUCCUAGCAUGAAGUCAGACAAGUGAACCCGCUGAACUUAAGCAUAUGGAUCCCA
rnacentral:rRNA from 1 species